AGAGCGAACGCUGGCGGCAGGCCUAACACAUGCAAGUCGAGCGCCCCGCAAGGGGAGCGGCAGACGGGAGAGUAACACGUGGGAACGUACCCUUUGGUUCGGAACAACACAGGGAAACUUGUGCUAAUACCGGAUAAGCCCUUACGGGGAAAGAUUUAUUGCCAAAGGAUCGGCCCGCGUCUGAUUAGCUUGUUGGUGAGGUAACGGCUCACCAAGGCUACGAUCAGUAGCUGGUCUGAGAGGAUGAUCAGCCUCACUGGGACUGAGACACGGCCCAGGCUCCUACGGGAGGCAGCAGUGGGGAAUAUUGGACAAUGGGCGCAAGCCUGAUCCAGCCAUGCCGCGUGGAUGAUGAAGGCCUUAGGGUUGUAAAGUCCUUUUAACGGGGAAGAUAAUGACGGUACCCGUAGAAUAAGCCCCGGCUAACUUCGUGCCAGCAGCCGC
rnacentral:rRNA from 1 species